CUGAAAAGGAAAAGCAUAGAAAUGAAGAAGAGACAGCUGAUAAUGAAUCAGAAGGUUUCGAAGAUGAACAUGAAGACAUGACAUUAAGAGAUUGGGUGGAUAUCAACAUCAUGAAUUUUGCGAAAAAGAUUGACGAGAAUAAAGGAGAGGAAGGGAUGCAAACAAAAACCACAAGUGGAGUAAAUGUCAAUGAUAUGGAUUUGGGUGCAACUGAGGAAGAAGAGGAUGCUGCGGAUGGUAUUAGAGAAGACUUUAGCUUUGACACUGGAUUGGGGGGGGGGGG